rnacentral:lncRNA from 1 species
GUGACUUCACACAAAGCUUUCACUGUGGGUUCGGCAGCCAUUUCUCUCCCCCCCCCCCCCCAGUUUGGCGUUUUCUCCCCUUGAAGGACUCAGGAAAAGGUUCUUUUAUCUACAGUUGGUAGAAAUCAGCUUCUGUCUGUGUCACAGAAGUCUGACAGACAGCCACAGUCAAGAGAUGGCAGCAGGCAUGUGAUGCGACCAGCUGAAGCAGGCCUCCUUCCCAGCAGACCAUCUGCAAAUAUUUAUGGAGGCUCUACUGUGUGCCAGCUCUGUGCCCAGGUCUGCGGGGCACACAGGCGUCCUGUGUGAAACAAGGAAUGUAUGUUAGGAAUGGGAAGACUAGUGGACAUGCAGGAAAUGGAGAAAGGC